rnacentral:rRNA from 1 species
AUUGAACGCUGGCGGCAGGCCUAACACAUGCCAGUCGAGCGGAUGAAGGGAGCUUGCUCCUGGAUUCAGCGGCGGACGGGUGAGUAAUGCCUAGGAAUCUGCCUGGUAGUGGGGGAUAACGUCCGGAAACGGGCGCUAAUACCGCAUACGUCCUGAGGGAGAAAGUGGGGGAUCUUCGGACCUCACGCUAUCAGAUGAGCCUAGGUCGGAUUAGCUAGUUGGUGGGGUAAAGGCCUACCAAGGCGACGAUCCGUAACUGGUCUGAGAGGAUGAUCAGUCACACUGGAACUGAGACACGGUCCAGACUCCUACGGGAGGCAGCAGUGGGGAAUAUUGGACAAUGGGCGAAAGCCCGAUCCAGCCAUGCCGCGUGUGUGAAGAAGGUCUUCGGAUUGUAAAGCACUUUAAGUUGGGAGGAAGGGCAGUAAGUUAAUACCUUGCUGUUUUGACGUUACCAACAGAAUAAGCACCGGCUAACUUCGUG